rnacentral:rRNA from 1 species
AUUGAACGCUGGCGGCAGGCUUAACACAUGCAAGUCGAACGAGUGGCGGACGGGGGAGUAAUGCUUGGGAAUCUGGCUUAUGGAGGGGGAUAACGACGGGAAACUGUCGCUAAUACCGCGUACCAUAGGAUGAGCCCAAGUGGGUUUAGGUAGUGGUUGGGGUAAUGGCUUACCAAGCCGACGAUCUCUAGCUGUUCUGAGAGGAUGACCAGCCACUCGGGAACUGAGAAACGGCCCGGACUCCUACGGGAGGCAGCAGUGGGGAAUAUUGCGCAAUGGGGGCAACCUGACGCAGCCAGGCCGCGUGAAUGAAGAAGGCCUUCGGUUUGUAAAGUUCUUUCGGUGACGAGGCGUUAAUCACAGAAGAAGCACCGGCUAACUCCGUGCCAGCAGCCGCGGUAAUAC